CCGGGCUCCGUGCCUGCCCCUGGGCUGCUCCGCACCUGGCGCUGGGGGCGUAGCGGGAGUGGUCCCGGAGCGGGCGCAGCGCGGGCUGCUCUGGAGCAUCGCUCUGCCCAGGCGCCGUACCCUGCGGAGCCUCGCAGUAUUACUCCAGGAGCCGCCGUAUCGUCGGGCAGCUCUUCCCUGGUGGUAUUUGUAAGCUCGUAUGAAGGAUGUUGAAGAGACUGUCUCACAUAAAGAUCUUGAAAGGCUGCAGGGACUUCUUUGCCAGUGAGAACUAAAGCAUGACUGCUAUCCAGGAAGUGAGUGGUAAGUCUUAAUGAUAAGGAAAUGUACGUCAACCUGAAGUGGGCAUUAAACAUUCUUGUCAAACUCUAAAGCAUGAAUUAACAAGAAAUACUUGCUUCUCAGUAGUGUAUCUGACUUCAAUUUUGUUUUAAAUGCAGGUGAAUCAGCUCUGUUUUCUUACUGAACUUCAGUUUUUAGUGUUAGUACUGUGGAAGUUUUAUGAAAACUGUAUGCUUUUCCCAGUGUUUUUCUAUUAAAAAUUUAUUCAUGAAUUUUUAAUUUUCAACAGGAUAUUUUUGGCUGAACUAUUUAGCUUUCUACUGUCACUAAAUAAAAGUGUAAUUAUUAAUCA
rnacentral:lncRNA from 1 species